CUGAAUGGCCUCUGGGCCUUCAACCUUGCAAACCUGUGGAAGCAAGAUGUGCUUCGGCGCCUCGGCGCCGCUUUUAUGCCUUAAUCAGCCUAUGUGUCUGAAUAAAAUACAAGAAAUA
rnacentral:misc_RNA from 1 species